CCCCGUGUCGCCAUCUUAACACCUUCAAAAUUACCCGACGCAUGGCUGCUAGGCUACUCAAGUCAUUCUUUCAACUCAUAUCAUUUUCGGUUUGUUUUU
rnacentral:lncRNA from 1 species